GGUGGUUCUCAGGUGAUGUACUCUGGAAUUGGGCUCCCUCCUCUCUGGUUCCAGGAUGCGUCACCUAAGAACUGUC
rfam:Myotis davidii contig11495, whole genome shotgun sequence.